rnacentral:misc_RNA from 1 species
CCAGAGUGCCUUUUGGCUCUCCAACCCACUGUGAACAUACCUACGUUUCCCUCGGCGGGCUCAGCGCGUUGCGGUUCUGCCGCCUCGCGUCCGCCGGGGGCACCCAAACUCGAAUUUAUAUCGUGUAUCUCUGAGGGGCGAAAGCCCGUAAAACAAAUGAAUCA